rnacentral:tRNA from 1 species
ACCUUUUUAGUAUAAUAGUUGUAUGGGCGGUUUCCAUUUGCCAGGUUGUUGGGGUA